rnacentral:rRNA from 1 species
AUUGAACGCUGGCGGCAGGCCUAACACAUGCAAGUCGAGCGGAGCGGCGGACGGGCGAGUAAUGCCUAGGAAUCUGCCUGGUAGUGGGGGAUAACGUCCGGAAACGGGCGAUAAUACCGCAUACUAUCAGAUGAGCCUAGGUCGGGUUAGCUAGUUGGUGGGGUAAAGGCCUACCAAGGGGACGAUCCGUAACUGGUCUGAGAGGAUGAUCAGUCAAAGGGGAAAUGAGAACGGGUGCAGCAUCCUACGGGGGGGAGCAGGGGGGAAUAUUGGACAAUGGGCGAGAGGCUGAUCCAGCCAUGCCGGGUGUGUGAAGGAGGUCUUCGGUUUGUAAAGCACUUUAAGUUGGGAGGCGUUACCAACAGAAUAGGCACCGGCUAACUUCUUGCCAGCAGCCGCGUUAUUC